UGGGGAAUAUUGCACAAUGGAGGGAACUCUGAUGCAGCGACGCCGCGUGAACGAAGAAGGCUUUCGAGUCGUAAAGUUCUUUUAUAUGGGAAGAUAAUGACGGUACCAUAAGAAAAAGCCCCGGCUAACUACGUGCCAGCAGCCGCGGUAAUACGUAGGGGGCGAGCGUUGUCCGGAAUUACUGGGCGUAAAGGGUUCGCAGGCGGCAUGGCAAGUCCGAUGUAAAAGGCGAAGGCUCAACCUUCGUAAGCAUCGGAAACUGUCAAGCUUGAGUGAAGGAGAGGCAAGUGGAAUUCCUAGUGUAGCGGUGGAAUGCGUAGAUAUUAGGAGGAAUACCGGUGGCGAAGGCGACUUGCUGGACUUCAACUGACGCUGAGGAACGAAAGCGUGGGUAGCAAACAGG
rnacentral:rRNA from 1 species